GACGAACGCUGGCGGCGUGCUUAACACAUGCAAGUCGAGCGGUAAGGCCCUUUCGGGGGUACACGAGCGGCGAACGGGUGAGUAACACGUGGGUGACCUGCCCUCAGCUCUGGGAUAAGCCUGGGAAACCGGGUCUAAUACCGGAUAUGACUCCAUGACGCAUGUUGUGGGGUGGAAAGCCUUGUGCGGCUGAGGAUGGGCCCGCGGCCUAUCAGCUUGUUGGUGGGGUGAUGGCCUACCAAGGCGACGACGGGUAGCCGGCCUGAGAGGGCGACCGGCCACACUGGGACUGAGACACGGCCCAGACUCCUACGGGAGGCAGCAGUGGGGAAUCUUGCGCAAUGGGCGAAAGCCUGACGCAGCGACGCCGCGUGGGGAUGAAGCUUCUCGGAGUGUAAACCCCUUUCGACCCGGACGAAUAGCCCGCAAGGGACUUGACGGUACGGGUAGAAGAAGCCCGGCUAACUACGUGCCAGCAGCAGCCGCGGUAAC
rnacentral:rRNA from 1 species